rnacentral:rRNA from 1 species
GACGAACGCUGGCGGCGUGCUUAACACAUGCAAGUCGAACGGAAAGGCCCUGCUUUUGUGGGGUGCUCGAGUGGCGAACGGGUGAGUAACACGUGAGUAACCUGCCCUUGACUUUGGGAUAACUUCAGGAAACUGGGGCUAAUACCGGAUAGGAGCUCCUGCUGCAUGGUGGGGGUUGGAAAGUUUCGGCGGUUGGGGAUGGACUCGCGGCUUAUCAGCUUGUUGGUGGGGUAGUGGCUUACCAAGGCUUUGACGGGUAGCCGGCCUGGGAGGGUGACCGGCCACAUUGGGACUGAGAGACGGACCAGACUCCUACGGGAGGCAGCAGUGGGGAAUAUUGCACAAUGGGCGGAAGCCUGAGGCAGCAACGCCGCGUGCGUGAUGACGGCCUUCGGGUUGUAAACCGCUUUCGCCUGUGACGAAGCGGGAGUGACGGUAAUGGGUAAAGAAGCACCGGCUAACUACGUG